rnacentral:tRNA from 1 species
GAAAUAAUUAUUAGAAUUUCUAAUUCUUAAAUUAAAUGAAUAAUCAUUUUUAUUUCU